GAACGAGAUCUUAACCUGCUAAUUAGCGGUAAAUACACUAUAUUCUUAAGUGAAAUUAGAAUAUAGAUAAAUUGUGCUAAUUUUGAUUAAAAUAUUAGAAUGUUUUUUUUAAUAAAAACGUUCUUUUCCCUUUUUUUCUUAAUUAUGCAUAUUUAUUUUUUUUCUUUUUUUGCAUAAGAAUGUAUUUGCUUAAUUGUAAAGCUUCUUAGAGGAACGAUGUGUGUCUAACACAAGGAAGUUUAAGGCAACAACAGGUCUGUGAUGUCCUUAGAUGAACUAGGCUGCACGCGUGCUACACUGAUAUGUAUAACGAGUAUUUAAAAAUAUAUAUCUUGUUAUGUUAUACGUAUUUCUAUAUGUAUGCAUACAAAGAAUAUAUAGUUUUCCUCCACUGAAAAGUGUAGGUAAUCUUUAUCAAUA
rnacentral:rRNA from 1 species